rnacentral:rRNA from 1 species
UACAGAGACUGCAAGCGUUAUUCGGAUUCACUGGGCGUAAAGGGUGCGCAGGCGGUUGGGUGUGUCAGAUGUGAAAUCCCGAGGCUCAACCUCGGAACUGCGUCUGAAACUACUCGACUAGAGUACUGGAGAGGGUAGUGGAAUUCCCGGUGUAGUGGUGAAAUGCGUAGAUAUCGGGAGGAACACCAGUGGCGAAGGCGACUACCUGGCCUGUUCUUGACGCUGAGGCGCGAAAGCUAGGGGAGCAAACAGGGG